CUUUAUUUGGCAACACACCACACAUGCAUCGUCACGGCCGGUGGGGUGCCGUUCCGUCGGGAACGGUCGCCGGCCGGGAUGCGUGGAGGCGCAAC
rnacentral:sRNA from 2 species